rnacentral:tRNA from 1 species
GCCUGGGUGGCUCAGUCAGUUAAGCGUCUGACUUCGGCUCAGGUCAUGAUCUUGUGGUUCGUGGGUUCAAGUCCCGUGUCAGGCU